rnacentral:rRNA from 1 species
GACGAACGCUGGCGGCGUGCUUAACACAUGCAAGUCGAACGGUGAAGGGGCCUGCUUUUGUGGGCCCUGGAUGAGUGGCGAACGGGUGAGUAACACGUGAGUAACCUGCCCCCUUCUUCUGGAUAACCGCAUGAAAGUGUGGCUAAUACGGGAUAUUCUGGGUCUGUCGCAUGAUGGGUCUGGGAAAGAUUGCGCCUUUGGGUGUUUUUGGUGGGGGAUGGGCUCGCGGCCUAUCAGCUUGUUGGUGGGGUGAUGGCCUAGCAAGGCGGUGACGGGUAGCCGGCCUGAGAGGGUGGACGGUCACACUGGGACUGAGACACGGCCCAGACGCCUACGGGAGGCAGCAGUGGGGAAUAUUGCACAAUGGGCGCAAGCCUGAUGCAGCGACGCCGCGUGAGGGAUGGAGGCCUUCGGGUUGUAAACCUCUUUCGCCAGUGAAGCAGGCCUGCUCCUUGUGGGUGGGUUGACGGUAGCUGGAUAAGAAGCGCCGGCUAACUACGUG